rnacentral:rRNA from 1 species
GUGCCAGCAGCCGCGGUAAUACGGAGGGUGCGAGCGUUGUUCGGAAUCACUGGGCGUAAAGGGCGUGUAGGCGGUCCGCUAAGUCUGAUGUGAAAGCCCGGGGCUCACCCCCGGAAGGGCAUUGGAAACUGACGGACUCGAGUCCCGAAGAGGAGGGUGGAAUUCCUGGUGUAGCGGUGAAAUGCGUAGAUAUCAGGAGGAACACCGGUGGCGAAGGCGGGAUCCUGGGCCAGUACUGACGCUGAGGAGCGAAAGCGUGGGGAGCAAACAGGAUUAGAUACCCUGGUAGUCCACGCCGUAAACGAUGAGUGCUAGAUGCUAUGGGUAUUGACCCCCGUGGUGUCGUAGCUAACGCGUUAAGCACUCCGCCUGGGGAGUACGGCCGCAAGGUUAAA